rnacentral:rRNA from 1 species
ACGGGGGGAGCAAGCGUUGUUCGGAUUUACUGGGCGUAAAGGGCGCGUAGGCGGCCAGCACAAGUCAGUUGUGAAAUCUCCGGGCUUAACUCGGAAAGGUCAACUGAUACUGUGCGGCUAGAGUGCAGAAGGGGCAACUGGAAUUCUCGGUGUAGCAGUGAAAUGCGUAGAUAUCAGGAGGAACACCGAUGGCGAAGGCAGGUCUCUGGGCUGACACUGACGCUCAUGCACGAAAGCGUGGGGAGCAAACAGGA